rnacentral:rRNA from 1 species
GACAGAGGGUGCAAACGUUGUUCGGAAUUACUGGGCGUAAAGCGUGUGUAGGCGGUCCGAUAAGUCGGGUGUGAAAGCCCUGGGCUCAACCCAGGAAGUGCACUCGAAACUGCCGGGCUAGAGUAUCGGAGAGGUUGGUGGAAUUCUCGGUGUAGAGGUGAAAUUCGUAGAUAUCGAGAGGAACACCGGUGGCAAAGGCGGCCAACUGGACGAAUACUGACGCUGAGACACGAAAGCGUGGGGAGCAAACAGG